AGCAGGGAAGAUGUGGGAACCCAGAGAGUAGUACAGCUCCCUCCCAAGAUGGUAGGACAGAGAGAGGAGAUGCUGGUAGCUGGAGCCCAGGAGCAGAGGUCACCUCGCCAAAGCUGGGCCCAGCCCAGGCACGUCUGGUGGGAGCCGUGGAGGAAGUGUAGGGAGAGAAGUACCUUUUGGAGGACAGGAGGGAGGUUUCUCUCUCCCUCCGGCCUUUCAAUCUCCCACCGGAAGUGGGAGAAGCCUGCUGUCAUAGGUGCCUGGGAAAUCCAGCCUGCCCCUGCCCAGCCACAAUACAGCAAGGAAUAAAUUUAAGGACUGGAGCUUCUCUGGGAUGGGAGCAGAGAAGCGGGGCUGGAGAUUCCUGCAGGGCAGGCACACAAGGCCACAGGAGGCCUUUGAAGGGUUUUCCACAGGAGAACAUGAUCCAGCUUAUGUCUUGAAGCAUGUCUCUGGCUGCUGAGUGGGAAACGGUUUGAAGAGGAGCCAGAAUGCCAUCAGGGAGGCUAGUGUGGGUUCUGCAGAGGUUCUCCAGUGUCACCGUGGACCCGGGCUCUUGCCAUCUUUGCACUCUGCCAACCUCAGUGUGUUGCCCGCCCCGGGCUGCCUCCUUCAUCUCCCAGGAGAAGACUCUGAGGCAGGAUUCGAGCGCAAGUGAUUUAUGUGGGAGGAGAUCCCAAGAAGCAUGUGUAGGGGAGUGGGGAAGUGAGACAGGGAGGAGAGGGAAGCCAGAACAGGGGACGUUCAUGGACAACUGGCACCAGAUCCCACUAGGGAGCUCAGAGUCAAAGCCUCAGAGCUGCUCCAUCUGAGGUGAGAAUGCUGCCCAUGCGCCUCCAUGCAUGUACUCAGUGAACACCUAGUGUGCGCAGGUAAGGACUACUCACACGCACUUCUCCAUAGCACCAGAGCAUGCCUGUAGGCAGAUAGCCUGUUGCAUGGCAAGAGUGACAUCAUCAUGAAAUGAAACUGCCAUGAUGACCGAUGUCUGACUCCAGCAUACCACAGUGUUUUGCAGCAAUUUUAUUACUUUUUUAAGACAAAGUCUCGCUCUGUCACCCAGGCUGGAAUGCAGUGGUGCAAUCACUGCAGCCUUGACCCCCCCAGACUCAAGUGAUCCUCCCACCUUAGCCUCCCGAGUAGCUGGGACUAUAGACACACACCAUCACACCUGGCUAAUUAAAGAAAAAAAAAAUUUGAGGCCAGGCACAGUGGCUCACGCCUGUAAUCCCAGCACU
rnacentral:lncRNA from 1 species